UACGUAGGGUGCAAGCGUUGUCCGGAAUUAUUGGGCGUAAAGAGCUCGUAGGCGGUUUGUCGCGUCUGCUGUGAAAACCCGAGGCUCAACCUCGGGCCUGCAGUGGGUACGGGCAGACUAGAGUGCGGUAGGGGAGAUUGGAAUUCCUGGUGUAGCGGUGGAAUGCGCAGAUAUCAGGAGGAACACCAAUGGCGAAGGCAGAUCUCUGGGCCGUAACUGACGCUGAGGAGCGAAAAGCAUGGGGAGCGAACAGG
rnacentral:rRNA from 1 species